CCAACUCUUGGGUACCUCAAGAUUUGAAGAUUUCCGACCCAUGUCAAGCGACAGCAGGCGAACAAGUUUGAGGUUAAGUCCUUUAGGGCUUGUUUUAUAGGGUAUCCUAAGAAAAUCAUAGGAUACUAUUUCUAUCUUUCUGAGGAUCACAAUGUAAUUAUGAGCCACCAUGCCAUCUUUUUAAAAAAAGAGUUUAUCCAAAAUGGAGGCAGU
rnacentral:lncRNA from 1 species